AAAGCAAAGGUGAAACAAAAUACGAAAAUUGCAGAGCAGCAGAAGAGGAGUCAGCUAUCCGAGGGCCUCUGCUGAAAUCCCAUCUUUCGGAUACGUUUGAUAAAUGGAAAAAACUGAGAGCAGAAGCAAGAAGCUGGACCCUGAAGGUAAGGAGAGCCACUGAAGAGGAAAGGAACCCUGAGAGAUAGUUCUCAGCUAACUACUUCUGGUACUGUUAAAGACAGACA